CCUACGGGAGGCAGCAGUGAGGAAUAUUGGUCAAUGGGCGAGAGCCUGAACCAGCCAAGUCGCGUGAGGGAGUACUGCCCUAUGGGUUGUAAACCUCGUUUGUCGGGGAGCAAAAGCCGGACGGGGCCGGCUGUGAGAGUACCCGAAGAAAAAGCAGCGGCGACCUCCGGGCCAGCAGCCGCGGUAAUACGGAGGAUCCGAGCGUUAUCCGGAGUUAGUGGGUUUAACGGGAGCGUAGAUGGGUUGUUAAGUCAGUUGUGAAAGUUUGCGGCUCAACCGUAAAAUUGCAAUUGAUACUGGCAGCCUUGCGUACAGUUGCGGUCGGCGGCCUUCGUGUUGUAGCGGU
rnacentral:rRNA from 1 species